rnacentral:lncRNA from 1 species
AUUCGGGCUGACAGCGGCAUUUAUGAGAGCAAAUGUCUGUCCCUGCGCAAUUUCUGUGGGGAUAGUUGCAGUCAGGUCUACAGGAUUUGCUUAAAAAUUUCCAAGACCUGGGUGUGUCUGACAGCCUGGACCUCAACCUCAAAAAGGAACUAGCUCCUCUCUGAUUUCCUUGGGACACCUGGGAGCAAGCACAGGAGCCCAUGGAGCCACGGAGAGUGUCACUUCAAGCGCCUCCUGGGAGCUCUUGCAGAUGCCAAGUGCUCUGCCCUUCCCCAUUACCUGUGAUUUCAAGUGGGCUUAGAGAUUCUCCAAGAUGUGAGAUGAAAGGCCAAGAAACUAAUUCCUCUGACUUCUUCAGAGAACCGCACAGUCUCUUGAGCAGGAGUUAACCAGAAGAGUGACGGUUGUGCAUGGACGGCCCUGGUUCACAGUCCAGCUCUGCCAUCCCUAGCAUGAUACCUGGAUGAAGCCCUGUGGAUUCUACCUCUGGAUCAUCUCAUCCAAAAUGCCACCCGUCAGUUUCCACUGGUCCUCCUUGGUUCAAGGCGUCCUCAUCUUCACCCUCCACUGAAGCAACAACUCCUCACGGAUCUUCCUGCUUCCAAUCUUGCCUUUCUCUUUUCUCUCUUACCCAAACCCAUAGGCAUGUCCUCUUCAGAUCAUGAAUAAUAUUCCUAAAACACAAACAGGAUCAGAUUCCCCCCUUGUAAAAUUCCUUCAGUGGAUGUCUUCUAACUUCAAGGGAAAGGCUAGGACCCUUGGAUCUUCCAAAUCCAGACCAGGCUGACUGCUCUAGCCUUCUUCCAACAUCCACGACACCCAUUUUGCACCCAAUGCUCUAGGCACUGGGAGCUACUCACAGUUCCCCUGACCUGACAAACUGUUCAGACAUCCACACAUUUCCUAGUGCUGUCUGCACCUGCAUAAAUUGCCCUCUGCUUUCCUCAUGUCCCCUCUACUGUUAAAACCUGCUCAUCUCUUAUUACUCAGCUCCACUGUUCUCUUCUCGCUCUACAGAAAAGGUUCCAGGCUCCAGUUAUGACUCUCCUCUAUGUCCCAAUCAGAACACAUUCGGUUCCCAUUAGAGUCUCUAGGACAAUCUAAUCUUGCAUUACCUUUUCCUCUAUAGGACCACAGCUUGUUGAAGAAAAUGAACAGUCUCCCUGGUACCAUUUGUUUUUGUAUCCCCAGCAUCUAUGGCAUUGAGUACAUAGAAUCCUUGGGAUGACCAGCAAUUGAGCUGUGGGCAGAACAAGAACAAUCAGCAAAGGAGACUGAGAAGCACCAGCCAGAGAAGCAGGAGGAGAACCGGUAGAGAGACAGCUACUGCAGCCACCAAAGGGAGAAAUGUUCUGCUGGGAGGAAAAUGAGAGCCUGUGGAAGUGAGCCAAAGAAUCUUCUGCCUGGGGAACAUUCACUGAUGCUUCAAGUGCUGGAAGAUCUGUGACUCCCAAAU